rnacentral:lncRNA from 1 species
UGUGGGGAUCUCAUGCAUGGUAAUAACUACAUGUAUAUACAACUUGCAUCCUUGGCACAAAGUUAUUAUAUUCUACUCAAUCCAUAGGCGUCAUUAAUGUCAUCCAGACUGUUUUGAAGUUGAUACAACUGGCUAUGAUAGGCUCCUGAGUGGCGCAGUGGUCUAAGACACUGCAUCCCAGUGCAAGAGGCGUCACCGCAGAACCUGGUUCGAAUCCAUCACAUCUGGCCUUGAUUGGAAGUCCCAUAGGGCGGCCCAGCGUCGCAGGGGUAGGCCCUCAUUAUUUUGUGUCCAACAGGUGAAUUACAGGAGAAGGUGAUUCACUCAAUCCAACUAGGAGACUGGGUGUGGAUCCAGUCCCUGAGGAGAAAAAACUGGAAGCAGUCCCGUUGGGAAGGCCCAUACCAGAGAUUCAUGAAUGAAACCGGGGAUGCAGUAAAGAGGUUCUCUGACCAAUUAUCCGCCACCUCCCUCAUGACCUGGAAAAAUAGACUGACUCUCGAUAGGUUACGGGCAAAGAGGGCGGUGUAAGUAGAAUGAUUAGGUUCAUUACUGUACGUACAUUUCUGAUAACACAGCUCAUGUUUGGGAAAUGGAAAAGUGUUGCAAGAACUGUAUUAUGGGCUGCUUUCACCUGUAUGAGUGUGUUUGGGUUGUGUGGUUGUUGUUUGGUCCCGUGUGCGAGAGGUUUAAUCACCAGAACUCUAGAGAGAUGGACAACGGAGCAGAUGGUGAGCUACGGACCGAGUCAAAGUUCAG